UACCGCAUAUUCUGUGAGCAAGGAAAGCGAGGGGGAUCGCAAGACCUUGCGCUGAUUGAGCGGCCGAUAUCAGAUUAGCUAGUUAGUGAGGUAAAGGCUCACCAAGGCGACGAUCUGUAGCGGGUCUGAGAGGAUGAUCCGCCACACUGGAACUGAGACACCGGUCCAGACUCCGUACGGGAGGCAGCAGUGGGGAAUUUUUGGACAAUGGGCGCAAGCCUGAUCCAGCCAUGCCGCGUGAGUGAAGAAGGCCUUCGGGUUGUAAAGCUCUUUCGGCCGGGAAGAAAUCGCACAGGUUAAUACCCUGUGUGGAUGACGGUACCGGAAUAAGAAGCACCGGCUAACUACGUG
rnacentral:rRNA from 1 species